GUUAAUAUGGCAAUCCAGCUCGUUGUCCGCUAGCCAACUCGUGUUCGGCUCGACUUGAGCUCGAGAUCAAAUCGCUCGUUUAGUAAACGAGUCGAACACGAGCUGAAUUUUUCAACUCGUUUAAUAAACAAGUCGAACACGAGCUGGAUCAGCUUACUCAUAUUCGGUUCGAUAACAGCUCAAAGACAUAUAUUUUAUAUUUAUAUUAUAAAUAAAUAAUUAUAUAAUAUAUAGAGAAAACUUCAAAAACUCCCCUUGUGGUUUCGUAGUUUCUCACUUUGCCCCCAUGUGGUUUAAAAUGUAUCAAUUUGCCCCCAUGUGGUUUAAAAUGUAUCAAUUUGUCCCCCUGUGGUUUUGUUUUUCUCUUUUUCUUAUCAAUUUCAUUAUUUUUUUUCUUAAAUCAGUAAUAAAGUUAAAAUUAAAGGGUAAUAAAGUGAAUAUUUGAUAAAUCUAGAUGAGUAUCUGAAGUUUUUUUGUAUAUAAUUUAACGAAAUAUUAACGAAAAAGCUACCGAAAAGAUAAAAACGAAACCACAGGGGGGCAAAUUGAUACACUUUUAAGGGGGGCAAAGUGAGAAACUACAAAACCAUAGGGGAGAUUUUUAAAGUUUUCCCUAAUAUAUAUAGAGUCCGGUUGCUAUGCUAUCAAUAGCACCAAACACUUGGUGCUGUCAAGUUUUCUGCCGUUAGAUUAACCCCUUUGAUUAUUUUUACCCGUUAGAUUAUACUAUUCAACCAACUACCCACUCAACCCUAGGGGGCCUACAUCAUUCUAACCGCACAUUUUUUAAUCCAAGGGCUAAAAAACUAAUAGCACCAAUAACUUGAUGCUAUUAAUAGUAUUUCAGCUUAAUUCUAUAUAUAUAUUAUUUAAUUUUUAGCAACAAAAAUAAAGCCGAGCUUAAUUAUAAAAAAAACUCAUUUAUAUAUAAAGUUUCAAUCAUUCGAU
rnacentral:lncRNA from 1 species